UUGGAAUUGCUUUGUAUGUUUUGUAUACAUAUAGUGCAGAAAACAAAGCGAACUAUAUGCAUGGUAGAAAAACAAACUAAAAUACAGAUAUAAUAUAUCAAAGUUAGUACUACCAGAACGCGCUCGCAGUACAUGCUAGUGAGUCAAUAAUAGCACACAUGAUUGAGUUGAGGUGUACACUCCAACAUUGUCACGUGAUAGGGAAGGUGCUAGAUUCCCUACCUAAGAGCAACUUCAACCGGACGAUCCAUUUUAGCCCAUGUAUGUUUGGGUCACCGCGGACAUAAAAAUACAGCUCAAUGCGUC
rnacentral:lncRNA from 1 species